GACGAACGCUGGCGGCGUGCCUAAUACAUGCAAGUAGAACGCUGAAGGAGGAGCUUGCUUCUCUGGAUGAGUUGCGAACGGGUGAGUAACGCGUAGGUAACCUGCCUGGUAGCGGGGGAUAACUAUUGGAAACGAUAGCUAAUACCGCAUAAGAGUAGAUGUUGUAUGACAUUUACUUAAAAGGUGCAAUUGCAUCACUACCAGAUGGACCUGCGUUGUAUUAGCUAGUUGGUGAGGUAACGGCUCACCAAGGCAACGAUACAUAGCCGACCUGAGAGGGGGAUCGGCCACACUGGGACUGAGACACGGCCCAGACUCCUACGGGAGGCAGCAGUAGGGAAUCUUCGGCAAUGGACGGAAGUCUGACCGAGCAACGCCGCGUGAGUGAAGAAGGUUUUCGGAUCGUAAAGCUCUGUUGUAAGAGAAGAACGAGUGUGAGAGUGGAAAGUUCACACUGUGACGGUAUCUUACCAGAAAGGGACGGCUAACUACGUG
rnacentral:rRNA from 1 species